UUUAUUUAAGGUUGUAGUAAAUAGGUUAGUUCCCUGUGGGAUUCGACUCCGAACUUGAACUGGGUUAUAUUUGCAGCGACCGUUUAGUCCUUCUUACAAGGCAUAGUUGGGCGUGAUCAAUACUCCUAUGAAAUUUUGAAGACAAUUCAAACAAAUUAAAAUUGGGACUUGUUCUUGAAAUCAAACUCAUAAAAAAAGAAAAACUACUCCUUAAAAAUGAAAACGAAAGAAAAGCAUUUUUUUUUUAAAAAAACUUAUAAACGGGGUGGUGCGGUGUAGGUUUAUGCUGUGCGGGCGGUGCGGGUUGAUAAUUAAAAAUAUUGCUAUACGGGGCGGGACGGGGCGGGUUGAAGUCUUAGCGGGUUAAGGCUAAACCCGCCCUUCGCCGCCUCAUUGCCAUCCCUUGUACUCUUAUUGUUUGAAAUUUGAAAAUAAAAAGGGUGAUCUUGCUUAAACUGAAUUAUUCUAGAUUUUGAUUAAUUAUAUAGUUGGUGCAGUAUAAAAGAUAAAAUGUAGAUCUUGAGAGGAUAAUAUAUAUUCAAGGCCAAAGUAAUAAGUAAAGAACUAAUCGAAACUCUUUAGUGAGACGUGGUUUGUCUUUUUAUCCUUUGUAAAUAUAUUUUAAGUUGAAUAAAAUUAUAAAUACAAAUAAAAUUUAUUUUUUCUUGAUUUAUAUCGUACCGUUAUUUUUACCUUGAAAGGUGAUCAGUGUUUUCAACUAUGAUUUUGUCACAAAAUUUUCAAAUGAACUACAAGUUAAAAUAUUAUGAGUUAUAGUUCUUCUUAUGUUUUGUAAAAAUAUCUAAUAAGUUUAAUGUCAAAUAAUUGAACAGAAACUAAUUUGGUGUGCUAACCCUAAAUAUUUGGAGCCUUACCAUUCUUUUAAAUAAUGAUCUUAGUUACAAUAUUCAACAUAAUGAUGGAACGAAGAGAAAGUGCCCACUUUAUCUUAUCAUUUGGUCUUGUUUGGCACUAUCUUUAAUGGUAUGAUUUAAUUAUAACAAAUGAAUGAUUGCAUCUUUCUUCUUGAGAAGACAUCUCCCUUUCAAUUCCGCUAACGAUAAUGCAUCAAAUAACUUUUUUCCCUCAAAACAAUUCUAUAUAUCAAACUUAUUAGGUCGAAUUCCUAUACUCAAAUAAGAGACAUAAGUUAGAAUCCCUUCCUUGAAUUGUAAAGUAAAAAUCUUACAAUUUGAUGAGUAAAAAUUGUAAAUAAAAAAAGAUUUAAUCUGGUAAAAGGUACGAUCUUUUUAAAUGAUUAACAAAAAUAAUGACUAAAGGCGUAGAUAAACAUUACCCAUUAAAAAUUUGCCUAAGGAGAAACAAGCUGACAAGGUUAAGCCUUUUUAGCAUAUUUAUGUUAAAAUAUAUAUAGCCGAAGAAAACUAUGAUGUAUUAAAAACGCUAUAAAAACCCUAAACUUGGAGGUUUGAGGAUAUAUAAAGAAUAAUGUAAGUAGCUUGGUCAAGAUUAAAUAUUAUUGCGGCCUUCAGAAACCAUGCAAUUUCAAGUAAUUACCUGUAUUAAGAUUUAAAUAAGGAAAAAGAACAAGAAUAAGAAACAGCUGUUAGCCAUUGAUGGACAAAGCUAAUGAAUGAGAAAUUAAUACUUACUUGUGGUACAAACUUCCAAUAGCUGCGUACAGCUAAAACUUGCGGUCCUAUUCAUUAUAUGUGCCAAUCAGGUGGCAACACACUAAACUUAGC
rnacentral:lncRNA from 1 species